rnacentral:rRNA from 1 species
UACGGGGGGGGUAAGCGUUGUUCGGAAUUACUGGGCGUAAAGGGCUCGUAGGCGGCCAACUAAGUCAGACGUGAAAUCCCUCAGCUUAACUGGGGAACUGCGUCUGAUACUGGAUGGCUUGGAUCCGGAAGAGGGAUGCGGAAUUCCAGGUGUAGCGGUGAAAUGCGUAGAUAUCGGGAGGAACACCAGUGGCGAAGGCGACUUCCUGGCCUGUUCUUGACGCUGAGGCGCGAAAGCUAGGGUAGCAAACGGG